UUGUUUUUUGGUGCUUAAAUAAUUAUUUAGCCAUUGCCAAAAUCACUUCAAGAGUAUGAGAUGAGAUCUUCAUAGCAAAUGCUUUCCAUAUUCACCAAUAAUCCAUACAUGAGCAAUACCUUUCUCUAAAAUGGUGAAAUCGAUAACAAUCUCUCAGAAGUAUCUCUCUACCGUAAAGCCUAGAUGUAAGACCCAGCCUGCUACCAAGCCCGGGCCCAUGGAAGUGUUUCUAGAACACGUCGCAUAUUUCGCGCCCUCUUUGCCAUUUUCAUGCAUGCCCUUUUUCAUCCUCGUCCUCUAGGUUUUUCUCUUUACUACUUAUAUCUUAUAUUUAAUUGUAUUUAUCAUCCUUAACCCUAGUUUAUGUGCCACUCGACCUCUUCACAGUCAAACAAGAACUCCACUUCACUGCGCUAGUUGCUGUCAACCACACCCUCCAUCACCGAAGCAGAGCCUCACCUACAGCCACCCUAACCCCUCGGUACCACCUGCUGCAGCUCACCUGCGUCCAUUGGAGUGCACCACAACACCCUUAGCCCUUGCGCAUCCCUGCGAAAUCAAGCGCCCCCCCAUCACGGAAAGCUCUAUUCCCGCACCAAGAAACAAAGGAGUGUUUCUCCUCCACGUGAGCGUUCAAACUGCCCACCCACGGAGCCUGCUGUCGUCCCAUCACUCUCAACCCACUACGCGCCAACUCAGCCUCUCGCUUUCUCUCUUCCUCUCUCUCCCUGUGCGACGCCGUCUAGGAAGUCACCACCACCUCAGCCUAUCAUCCGGUGUGCUCCCGCGGUGCCACUGCCUCGGUUUUCCAUGGGUGAUGAUUAAUAAUUGUUCGACAUUGGGAGGAAAUUUUUGGAAAAGCUAACAAGUCCAGAUGACAUUGAUUUCCCAGCUGGGGGUCUGGAUUAGAGAUUGGAGCUUGAUUUGAUAUGGAUAGAAGAUUGAGUCCCAUUGUUAGUAGAAGGGUAUAACUCGAGUAUUUGAAAUACUUUGAGUUGUUUGGACCUAUUGAGAAUUUAAAAGAUGUGUCAUUUUAUUUCGUUGAGAUUAUUGGAAAAUUUGGACCCCUUUGGUUUAUGCUAUUUUGUAAUGAUGAUUUAUGAAGUUUGUAUUAUGGU